CCUGUGUCCUUGAGAAAAGGUAGGCUGAAUUUCCUGUUCAGUUGAUGAUACGCUUUCAUCGUGCAGCAACACUGUGUCUCUCUCUUUUAUCAAGUAGUACUGUUUCUUUCUCUUUAUACUGUUUGAAGAUCUUAGGCACUUACAUGCAAGUUACCUAGCUGUUGUUUUGUCUUGGCAGAUACUCAAUUACAUCUUUCUCUUUGGCAAAUGGUAAACUUUUGAUUGAAGGUACAUCAUUAGCUGGGAAGCAUCCUGCUUGGGCAUUCCUAGUAAAGAGAAGGAAAAGGUAAUCAGAGUUCUGAACAGUGAGGAAUAAGAAGACAAGUGAUGACACUGGAGUAGUUAUCCAGAGAUGGUGUGCCCUGGAAACAGGCAUAAGUAGCAGUCAUUUUUGGUGAAACAAAACUAUCCUCUUUGAGUCACCAUAAAGAAAAAAAAAUCAGAAGACAUCUGAAGUGUUAUGACACUGAAUGAUGAGAUAUUGUUUGACAGCACAGUGAAAGGGAAGACAAAAUCCUCAGUACUGUGGUGGUUCCCUGUCAAUCCCAUUUAGACAAGCAAGAACCUUUUCCCAGGGAUUACUGCAGAGGACAGCUCUAAAUUCACCAUGGUAUUUAUUGAGUAUGUGUAUUAAAGUCUAAGGCACCACAAUUCAGAAAAAUUAUCUCCAGAACACUCUUUGAAUGGUAAAAAAUUGCCCCCAUAGAAUAAACUAAACCACAGGUGAUCCCAUUUGCUCCAUUUUGCACAGGCAAAGAAAAGCCUGCUGCCAUAUCGUGAUAACAACCCAGCGCUCUGGUAGACUAGAAAACAAAACCAGGAGA